UGUGAGCCUAUCAAUGUUUAUAAUGCAAAUCUCCUCUUCUGUCUCCAUACAGACCCCAGCCAUGCAGAAGUCAUCGGGAUCUUUGGCAGCAACAUCACCCUUCAAUUUACAUUUAAUGUUAGCAUUACUGAAAACAGUCAAAUUGGAAUUUAUACAACAGGCGAGAAAAAGAUUGAUGAUUUGAAAAAUAGAAAAAGUUCCUUUGAUAUUUACCCCCAAAACAAUUCUAUAUUUUACCACAUCACAAAUCUCACUCUAAACCACACUAACACCUACUGGGCCAGUUUACUUGGUGGCAUCCCAAGAAAAAGUAAUGAAGUGAAGCUGAUUGUUGAAGAAAGGAACAUAAGCUGCACAGCUCCACUGCCGUCGACUAAACCCACAGUUCAUGUCAAUGAAAGUUCCAGUUCCUUUCCCACCAGUAACAUCAUCAUCAUCUUCGCGGUUUUACCUGUGGUUCUGUUAGCAACAGUACUCCCAUGGUUGAUCUGUAGUCUCGUGAGACCCAAAGACAAACAACAACAACAACAAAGCCCGCAAAGCUCCACUCCCACAGUGCAGGUAAGAAAAAUUUUGAUCUGCUGUUAGAGAAAAAAAUAAGCCUGGAAAUUCUUCAGCCUGACUCGAGUUGUCUUCGCAGGAAUCAGUGGCGUCGUCGAGCAGCGUCUCUGCACCCUCGGUGAUCUACAGCGUCUUGGACUUCCCCAAAAGACCUCCAACGGUUGUUGAGAUCAACCCAAGAGAUACAGAGUAUGCUGCUGUCAGCUAUUUCACAGAAAAGAGACACAUGUGAUGCACAGCUCACUGUUUGACUAGUGUACAUAACCUAAAUCUAAAUAUAUUAUAAAUAUAAAUUUCUUGUAAGUGUUAAAAAUCCUGCUUUUGUAAUACUAGGACGUCUUAUUGCACUAUAUCUCAAACAAAAGAGUUGGGAGAGGAAGAGUCUGCAUGGGUAGUGUGUAUGUAGGUGUCACUUUGUGUUUGGUGGUCUCGAAAUUGAGAUGCAUGCUGCUGCUGCGGCAAACCUCAAGCCAGAACAUAAUACAGUUACAGUGACAACCCAGCCUCACAGUUAGCUUUCAAUUUUUCUUCCCUGUUAAUUUGUAUCGGGGGUAUCCGGCCGCUAAGGAAUACUUAACGGGCGAUAAAUGAGAUUUUAGAUUUUCUUCAGACCAGAAACGCAAAGCAAGCACUUCCUGUGUAUCCAGAGUCUACUGUACAUCACUGCUCUGGGUCUCACUGUGUUUAACAGCUUGAGUGAACCACACUGUUGCACUAGGUGACAACACAGGAGAUGUAGUGACCCCUACAAACUUUGCCCCCUCUGUAGAGCACCAGAUUUGGGUUGUUCGACCACUGAAAUAGCCUCACUUCUGUUGACUAAAAACUACACUGAACAUUUCUGAUGCUUUUACUAUUUAAAAAUCUUUAAAAACCUGCCAACUAAGCACAUGAAUUUAGGCUACGUCCACACGUACACGGGUAUUUUUGAAAACGGAGAUUUUCCGUUUUCGUUUUAAAAAAUAAUCCCGUCCACACGUAAACGCAGAAAUGAAGGAAAACGCUGCUAGGAACAUGCCAAAGCGACAGGUGGCGAUAUAUUCCUAACCGUGUAGAAAUGUUGGCCAAUCAGAAGUCUAGAAGCCUCGGUGGGAAAAGAUGGGGCAUAGAAGCAGAACAGAGUUGUAUGUGUGGAGGGACAGUAACUGUGUGUGUAUAUGUAAGCAUUUAAACACUGCAGAGAGUACAGUUAACAGUAUUGUAGAAAUUCAUUUCACCGAAACAAUAACGUGGCGCACAGUGUGACGUCAAAAAAGGCGCACACCUUUGACGCUGUUUUCUCCGUUUUCCUCGUCCACACGUAAAUGCAAAAACGGAGUUUUCGAAAAUAUCCACCCUGGCAGGCGUUUUUAGAAAUCUCCGUUUUCAGUGACCGAAAACGCCGUUUACGUGUGGACGAAAGGUGCAAACGCAUAGAAAAAUCUGCGUUUUCAAAAAUACCCGGGUACGUGUGGACGUAGCCUUAGAGACAGCUUUGCAAAUGUGGAUAUCCAAACCUGUUUGAAUGGGAUAUGUUACUAAAACUCUGCAGCUGACACUGACUAAAGUUAUAAAAGUAUCCAAAAUGACGGAAAUAACUAAAGCAUGGUAUCCUUUGUUAGUUCCUGUAAAAUAGGGAUGCCAAAUUAAUUUUACAUCAUGGGCCACAGACAGCCCACCAGACUUAUAGAAAGUGAAAAGACAGGAAUCAAUUACUAAUAUCUACACUUAAUCACUCUGGUGUGGUAUGAAUGUCCGAUUGUGGACCCCAGACCUUAUGUUUGAUGCCCCUGCUAUAGAACCAUGAAUGACGUUGUAAGUCGAAGCGUUUGAGUAGUGGAGUAUGAAGAAUGGGAGUGUUUCCACUUUAAAAGAAUGCCUAAAUGCACAUGUGGUCGUGAUUACACCUCCGAGUUCACUUGGAGUCUGGUUGAAGGAAGCGCGUGCUGGCACGUGCCGUAGAUGAAGAUCGUGGCACAUGCCAGUAAGCUCAAAUUUCUAAAUUACCAAGUUGAUAAUUCACAGAUGCAAUUUGCACAACGAAACAGCUGCUAGAGGCCAGUUUUAAAAUGGGUCCCAAUAACUGGCUGCACACAGAAAGUAGGGGCUUUUAUUUUGUUCGAGUGGAAAGUUUUGACUGAGAAUGCAUCACCAUGCAAUCCCAGGCUGAAAGGUUUUACACUUUGAUGACAUUUCCAACAUGAAAACCUUCCAUUUUCCGCUUCACCUCAUCUCCAGAAUUCAUCUUCACUCCCAUGCUGAACAUCGUGUGAGAGCUUAACAAGCUCACUUUUGAUUUUCAGGUUUAGUUACUUCUUUUGCAUCAACACGGAGGAAAAAGUUUCAGGGAGACCUUCUAUACGUGCUUAUAGAUCAGUUAUAGACCUUUCAGCUUAUCAGUACUGUAUAUUCAAAGGUCACUGGUGAUUUUUCCAUUAGCUGCUGCGACAGCUCGCCACUAUCAUGCAAAUCUGACAACAACAAUCUGACACUAUGUGCAAUAACUGCAUGCAUGGCCUCUGAAGUUCUCUUUUUGAAUGCUUAUUGAUGUCUUUGAUUUACUCAGUUCUCACACAUCUUUUAUCAUAUGUUAAAAAUGUAUUCUCUGGUUUAUCUUUCUCAGCUACUCAGAGAAAGAGCAAGUUCAUUUUGAAAUCCAGCAAGUUUUCAAAAUGUACCGUCCUGUCACGUGGUACUUUAUUACAUACUGCUGAACUGUUUCUUCUUGAAAUGCACAGUUUUUAAGAUGUAAAUGGAUGUAAAAUGAUCAACUUUAUCGUGUGUGUUUGUAAAUAAUGUCUUCAGUUCCUGAAUGUACUGUACUGGACCUGUGAGUGUCACAGAAGGAACAGAAACUGCUCUUUGUUUUGAUGGCAGCGGUGCAUGAUGGGGGAUGUGUAAAAUAAGUCUUCAGAGUGUUGUUUUGUUUUUAAAAAAAUCACAUAUUUCUGAAUUCUUAUCCUGUAAAAACAUGUCUAGAAUAAAAAUAGUUUACCUGAGAUUUUGGUUUUCUUUAUGUUUUUAGUAACUAAAGUUGAAGCUCAGCACACAGAGUUGUGUAUUUAAAGAAUGCACUGUUUUAUCUUCUAGUCUGUGUUACAGUAGGUCGUGGAGUCUUUGGCAUGUAAAAAUGAAGCAGUAUUUUAGCAUGUUGCAGGGACUUACCCAAGUAAAUCACCUAUAACGCCAACUUUAUUUUUCUGUCAAGACCACGUAAUAAAGCGUGAUCUUAGGUUAUACACAGAUGUGGAUGUUUUUUCACCUUAGAAUAAACUGAAACCUACACCGAAACAUUGCAAAGUGUCUUUUAGUGUGCUAAAAGACUUUCGUUUUUAGUGAUGCCCCGAACAGGCGUACGGCAUCAGCCCUGCAAGGCUUUUGCUACCUGUAUUGGCUGAUUGGAGUAGGAGGCAGAAUGGAAACCACUCAAAUGACUGAUGAGACAAAAAUAAAUUCUUUGGGUAGAACCUGAAGCGCUGCGUCUGGUAAACACCCUUCUGCUUAACCCUGAGAUGACUGAGAUGAAAUAUUAUCUUGACAGCAUCACACUUUUCACGCUUCUCAUCAGCAGGGACAGGGAGACUGGUUAAAGCGCACAGGGAAAUGAAAGCAGCAAAAUACAGAGAGGUGUUUGAAGAAAAGCAGACCGACAUGCAGGUCUGGAGCAGUGUGUCAUAGGUUGCAUAUUCCACUCACACAGAUUGUUCCGAAGCCAAGGGGCCCUGAUGGCAAACACACAGUCAUCUUUGAAUUUAAGCCUCAUUCUUUGGAAGGGCCCCAGCUGAAGAUCUAAGCCUUUGAAGUGACAUAUGGGGGUCUGCAUUUCAGAUAAUGCAGCACAGUGCAGUCUCAUACGAACAAGUAUAAUCAAAUCAUACAAAUCAAUCAUAAGAAGAUCUUAAAAUAAAUUCUAAAAGAUGAGCGAAGCGCAGUCAAUAGAGGUGAUGCGAUGCCAUCUACUGAAACCAGUAUGUGACCAUCAACCAUCAGUAUGUGACUGAAGUGCAGACUUUAUCUUUUAUUUGAUAUUAAGCAUCACGCCCCACCCUCAAUGACUGCCUGAAGUCUGGAGCCCAUGGAUAUCACCAGUUGCUUUGUUUGCUCCUCUGUUAUGCUCCUGCAGCCGCCUUCACGUAGUGCUUGUUUGUGUAUUUAAUAAGUUCAGAUUAGGUGAUUGAUUUAACUGUUUCUUCGCCUGGAGAAACUUUUGGGUUGCUUUUGCAGUUUGCAGCACUUUGGGUGUUUAUCCAUCUGCACUGUUUGUGGCAUCUGGCUGAAUGUGAGCAGAGAGUGUGGCCCUUCUUUUUUAAAGAAUGUUACUAGACUGAUUGUUUGACCAGUCUUCACAAUUUUUGCUGUCUAUCUGAUAGGUUUGGCCUCCUUCGCCC
ensembl:lncRNA